rnacentral:rRNA from 1 species
GCUGGCGGCAGGCCUAACACAUGCAAGUCGAGCGCCGUAGCAAUACGGAGCGGCAGACGGGAGAGUAACACGUGGGAACGUGCCCUUUGGUUCGGAACAACCCAGGGAAACUUGGGCUAAUACCGGAUAAGCCCUUACGGGGAAAGAUUUAUCGCCGAAGGAUCGGCCCGCGUCUGAUUAGCUAGUUGGUGGGGUAAUGGCCCACCAAGGCGACGAUCAGUAGCUGGUCUGAGAGGAUGAUCAGCCUCACUGGGACUGAGACACGGCCCAGACUCCUACGGGAGGCAGCAGUGGGGAAUAUUGGACAAUGGGCGCAAGCCUGAUCCAGCCAUGCCGCGUGGGUGAUGAAGGCCCUAGGGUUGUAAAGCCCUUUCGGCGGGGAAGAUAAUGACGGUACCCGCAGAAGAAGCCCCGGCUAACUUCGUGCCAGCAGCCGCGGUAAUACGAAGGGGGCUAGCGUUGCUCGGAAUCACUGGGCGUAAAGCGCACGUAGGCGGAUUGCUAAGUCAGGGGUGAAAUCCUGGAGCUCAACUCCAGAACUGCC